rnacentral:rRNA from 1 species
UACGUAGGGGGCAAGCGUUGUCCGGAAUCAUUGGGCGUAAAGCGCUAUGUGAGCGGUUCGGUAAGUCGGCUGUGAAAGUCCAGGGCUCAACCCUGGGAUGCCGGUCGAUACUGCCGGACUAGAGUCCGGAAGAGGCAAGUGGAAUUCCCGGUGUAGCGGUGAAAUGCGCAGAUAUCGGGAGGAACACCAAUGGCGAAGGCAGCUUGCUGGGACGGUACUGACGCUG